AAUGAACGUUGGCGGCAUGGAUUAGGCAUGCAAGUCGAGCGAGAAGGGUUUUGAAGCUUGCUUUAGAACCCGGAAAGCGGCGCAAGGGAGAGUAACGAGUAGUUAUCUACCCCAAGGCCCGGAAUAGCUGCGGGAAACUGCAGGUAAUGCCGGAUAAUAUCCCCGGAUCAAAGGUGUGAUUCCGCCUUGGGAGGAGACUGCUUUGUACUAGCUAGUUGGUAGGGUAAUGGCCUACCAAGGCUACGAUGCAUAGCGGGCGUGAGAGCGUGGCCCGUCUCACGGGGACUGAAACACUGCCCAGACACCUACGGGUGGCUGCAGUCGAGAAUCUUCGGCAAUGGGCGAAAGCCUGACCGAGCGAUGCCGCGUGCGGGAUGAAGGCCCUCGGGUUGUAAACCGCUGUCGUAGAGGAGAAAGGUCUGAUGAAGAAUCAGAUUUGAUCUAUUCUAGGAGGAAGUCGGGGCUAAGUUCGUGCCAGCCGCCGCCGUAACAC
rnacentral:rRNA from 1 species